CUCGCCGCUGGGAACCUGCAGCUCACUCAGCAACCGCUGUCCCUGGGACUCUCUACAGUGGAGCGCCCAGGGACCCUUUCAAGGGCGCCCCUAACACUGAGCUGCAAGGCAGGGGGUUAAAGGGGAAGCAGAGGUGCAGCGUGCAGGGAAGAAGGAGUUAGGGCGGAACUCAGCUGUGAGAACACAGCAGGUGGAGGCCACGGGGCCAGCACACGAGAGGCGCUGCCCUUUCCCCAGGGAAGACAGGCGAGGGGACAAGACCAGCAAGGGUGAGUCCGCUCCCCACUGCAGGGUCCGUGGUGGACCCCAUUUCGUCUCAAGGCCUGCCUCUGGGAGCCAUUCCGGUCUCCAAGCCUCCGCUGGGAGCGAAUUCUAAGAAUUGGCCAAAGGAAAAGCCCUGCAAAGGCUCGUAGCGUCCCAAGUCCUCGAGAGGAAUGCCUCAUUUCAACAUCUCAGCAAGUCUGGGAGGCCAUCCUCACCAUUUCAUAGGUGGGGCCGGUAAGGCGCGGGAAGGUGAGGUCACUUGCUGAAGUCUCACAACGGCGCGGGAGAGCAGGGAGAGCAGGUUCCUUGAGCGAGGGAAUGUUCCAGGGGGGUGGGAGGGAAGGGACAGCUGCAAGGACUGCCCAGGUGGCCAGGGUACCCGCAGCGCGGAUAUGCCGAGAAGGCGCGCCCGCCAAGCCGCGGCGCAGCCCACGACGUCCAGCCUUACCACUCUGGAACCACCACCCCGGUCCCUCAGAGACAGAGGAAGGAUGCGAGGGGAAGUCUAGGCUCAUCUUGGCACUGCUUCCCCCAACUGCCAGGGAAGAGAGGCUUGAGCAGGCACCUGUCAUCUGUCUGCCAUAGCUCCAUCAAAGAGUAAUGUCUGGCCUGACCCCAAUGCCCAUCCAGGAUGACUGGAGGUGCUGCCCCAAGCACCAUCCUCUCCGAGUGCUCGGGGCUUCCCAAGAAUGUAACUAUGGUCGCAUAGCAAAAGUGAGCAAGGCUGCAGUGCAGCAGCCCAGAGAAAACACAACUGAACCUCAUCAAUCAAUUUCCAUCCCACCACCUUGACUUGACUGCAGGCUGCCUGGGAACCCCACACUUCUCCUCUCUUUCCAGAAGAAGCGGUCUCAGCGGAGUUGUUUCCUAACGUAGCACAUUUGUUGCAGACAGCUACAGAGAGCAAAAAUAUGCUAUGGGCCAUCCACUUAAAGGAAACAGGCACGGGUAUUGCUCAACCUGCCGAGUUCAGCCCUGGCUCAUGAACUCAGUUCCAUGCACUGCGUCUGCACUGGGGAUCCAUGUGCAGAGGGGCCAGAUCAAAACCCCGGACUCUGAAUACAUGGUCAGUGCACGAGAAAUGACUUCUCCCUACCAAUCGCCCUUCCUUACUCUUUCCUAUUCCCUGCUCCCCAAAUGCCUUCUAGUCUUGGCCGCAUUAAAUCUGUGAUUCUAGGCUGGGCGUGGUGGCUCACGCCUGCAAUCCCAGCACUUUGGGAGGCCGAGAUGGGCAGACCAGCUGAGGUCAGGAGUUUGAGACCAACCUGGCCAACAUGGUGAAACUCCGUCUCUACUAAAAAUACAAAAAUUAGCCAGGCAUGGUGGCAGGCAUCCAUAAUCCCAGCUUCUUGGGAGGCUGAGGCAGGAGAAUUGCUUGAACCUGGAAGACGGAGGUUGCAGUGAGCGAAGAUCGCACCACUGUACUCCAGCCUGGGCGACAAAGCGAGACUCUGUCUCAAAAAAUAAAAAUAAAUAAAUCUGCAAUUCUAACAUCCCCCACUCACUUCAUCCCACCCCAGCCCUCAUCCUCAGGGAAUCUUCUCUGUUCCUCUGAGAGAGUAAAAAUACUAAGGGUGGAGAGGAUUGGCCAGAGCCUCGGGGAAGGCCAGACCCCGUACUGACCCCCUCCUCAGGUGCUCCCUCAGCAACCUCUAACGUCAACAUCUCCUCUUCAUGGAACAGAUGAGACAACUGAGGCUCCGAGAGGUGAAGUCCUGUGUCUGGACUGGGCUGUGUGUUGGCGUGUGCCUUCCCACAAAUCCUGUGACCCACCUCACCACUCCAUGCUGCCCCAGAAACAUGGGGCAAUGAUUUGUACAGGAAUCCCAGCAAGCAGAGCUUCUUCUAGAACUAACCAGGAGCUCGGUGUCUUCCUCAGACACUCAUAGUCCUCUCGAGCAAUUCCCCAGGCUGGACUCUGACUCAAGCUUCAGACAUUAAGCACCUUUGAAAGGCUGGAAAGUCACAGUCUACUCAUAUGUCACCAGAAGGCCUGGGCAAAAAAAGGAGGUAGAGAAAUAACCCCGGGAAUGAAGCAGGGGUUCUGCCCUCCCAGGGCCUGAGAAUUAAAAACUGUUUCAAAUCCUUGUUUCGUUCCUCUAGGAAAAAUUAAAGAAUUAAGCGAGGGCCUGGAAAACAAGGCUAGCAGGAAGUCGGAGGAACUGACAAACAACUGGGAAGAUGAAGCUACCGAGGAUGGGCUGCAGGAGCCAAGAAGUUAGAAUCUGCAAGCCUGCGCCGAGUGCUCCAGUCAGCCAGCACUAGAUGAUUUACUGCUGAAUCCAGCCCCUCUAUGGACCAGCCUCCAAGUCACAUGGACCGUAAGGAAUGGUUUGAGACCAUCCCAAGAAAUAUUUGGGCAGCUCAAGAGAUGCAGAAACUGUUGCCCAUCCCCAUGUUUCAAGAACAAACAAGUAAAAGCUAAACCAGGGCCAAGCGCUCUGAGACUCGCUCCCCGCCACCCAGCCCUAGCCCAGUGUCCCCUGGACAGGGCUCAUGCCCUGCUGAGCCCCUGAUGCUGAAGUCAGGGGAGAAGGAGCCCGCCUCAUUGGCAGGGGUCAUUCCUCACUGUUCAGGCAGUAAACUAAGCCUUCUUGUCAUUUAUGGCUAUUUUGUCACCUUUACCAUUGUCAUCAGUGGCUGGCAAGAAUAUCCACGUCUCCAUGGAAAAGUGAAACUAGAAGGCAUCUAGGAAAAAAAAAAAAAAGACACAAGGAAGAAAGAAGUGGAGCCCCUCUUCUUCCACUUAGUGAUGUGAUGUCUGCAUAGGAGGGGAGGAACUGUACAGCCAUCCUGGAACCAUGAGGACACAGCCCAUGGACAGCAUGGAAAGAGAAACGAGCUUCAGAGUUGCCCUCCGUGUGGCUUUCUUGCUAUGUGAAAUGAUGCAUUUUCCUUCAUUGUUAAGCUAACUGCAUUGCAUUCUCCAUUACUUGCAGCCAAAAGCAUUCCCACUGAGACAUGCCUGUCCUUUUGUUUUUCCCUCCUAUGGUGUAGGGUUUUGCAUAACUAUUUACGUUCAGGCAAUAAACACAAAACCAUGAACAUUGACCUUCAUGUGGAAUUUAAGGAUUGCUAAACUUUUUUCUGUACCUAGAUUUCUCCUGUGUUGAUUUUGGAAUCCAACUCCUGGGGCAGGCGCUGAGGCACCCUGAGGAAAGGGCUGUGAUUGUCCAGUGCCAAAAGUGACCCACAAAGCAAAGUGUCUCCAAAGGACAGAGACCACAAUUGACUCAUUCUCAUUCAUACCCUUGAACCCAAGUACAGCAUCUGGAACACAGCAGGAGCUCAAUAAAUAAGUGUUGUAUGAAUGGAUGGAUAGAACAAGAAAAGUCCAGGCCCUUUCAUUCAUUGUAUUAUAAGCUUGCAAGCUUAAUUAGUACAAUUAAAAUACAUAAGCAAUAUCUUAGUUUCUUUAAUAAUUCCCCUUAAUUUACACGCUCUCUUUAUUUGAGUAAGUUCCCCAGGUGUUUGAAGAAUGUUAUUAGAAUUGGACAGUCCCUGUGUUGGAGACAGGGCCAUUGAAGCUGGUAUUUCUUCUCCCUUCCCUUCCUUCCUCCCUUCCUUUCUUUUUUUUUUUCUCCAAGAUGGGGUCUUGUUCUGUCCCCAGGGUGGAGUGCUGUUGCAUGAUCAUGGCUCACUGCAGCCUCAACCUCCUAGGCUUAAGCGAUCCUCCUGCCUCAGCCUCCUAAGUAGCUGGGACACACCAC
rnacentral:lncRNA from 1 species